AUGUAUGUUUACAUGAGUCUAAAAUACAUUAUUUAUCUACAGACUAAAGACACAUUGCCAGUUGAAUCGCCCAGUGAGACUUCCACGAAGACCAGGACCACCAGCCUCACCAGACGUUUCAGCAGCCCUGAGGGUCCUGCCAUUGGGACCUGGACUCCCAGCCUCCAAACAAAUCGGCCCUCCACCAACAUCUUUAGCCGCCCAGUUAGUGCCCCUGUAUCCUCUCCCGGGGGUACAAGAUGCCAAUCCCCUAUGGCCAGUCGGAAUAUCCAGUUAUCCAAGGUCACCUCCACUACAACAACCAAGCCCUCUCAAUCAUUCACAGCCACCUCCCCACGCUCUCCUCCUUGGGGUUCAGGGUGCCAGUCCCUGAUGGCGAGCCAGAAUACCCAGUCCUCCAGCAUCUCCUCCAAUCCUGGUCUCAGACCAUCCGAAACGUCUCCGACUACUUCCUGUCUUUCUCCUUCUUGGGGUUCCAGAAGCCAGUCCCCAAUGGUGAACCAGCAUUCCAAGUUCUCCACUUUCGCCUCAAUGUCUACAUCCAGACCUUCCCAACCACCUACAGCCACAUCCCCACUAUCUCCUCCUUGGGGAUCCAGAUGCCAGUCCCCAAUGGUAAGCCAAGAUAGCCAGUCUUCCAUUGUUUCCUUUGUUCCGUCUUCCAGGUCCACCCAAAUAUCUACCUGUACAACUCCUGUCUCUCCCCCUUGGGGCUCACGUUCCCAGUCUCCUGCACUCUCUCAGACCAGUCUAUCCUUCCAGGCCACUAAACCUUUGUACAGAUCCUCGGCCACCUCACCGAUUUCCCCGCCCAAAGACACUCGCUGCAUGUCCCCCAUUGUCAAUAAUCCGGACUCUAAAGCCAACCACCGCCUCCUGGCUAAGAACAUCAUCAAUGCAGCCAAACGUAAAAACAGCCCCUCCCCUGGAGCACUGAGCGGUCACAGCCUCCCGAUCUCACCUUUGGGAAAUUCCCAUCAUGGCUAUGACUGUCACAAACCACCCAUCAGCCCUUUCCAGUCGCGGGCAUUUGGUGCCCAGUCUCCAACAUUCACUAGCCCCCCUCCAACGCCGACGCAGAGGAUCUGCUCCCCUGUGAGGCUCUACAACACUCGGUCCCUCACCGACUCGGAUGCCUCCGUUGAGUCGGAAGACUCGGGCCUCCGAUCGCCUGGCUUGCACUCCUACAACACCUGUCCCCGAGGCUGGGGCAGUAGCCUGAGGGUGAAGAGAAGCACCAUCUCCACUGACCUGUGA
ensembl:lncRNA